rnacentral:rRNA from 1 species
UACGUAGGGGGCAAGCGUUUGUCCGGAUUUAUUGGGCGUAAAGAGCGUGUAGGCGGCCAGACAGGUCAGCUGUGAAAACUCGAGGCUCAACCUCGAGACGUCGGUUGAAACCGUCUGGCUAGAGUCCGGAAGAGGAGAGUGGAAUUCCCGGUGUAGCGGUGAAAUGCGCAGAUAUCGGGAAGAACACCCGUGGCGAAGGCGGCUCUCUGGGACGGUACUGACGCUGAGACGCGAAAGCGUGGGGAGCGAACAGG